UACGUAGGAUCCAAGCGUUAUCCGGAAUUACUGGGCGUAAAGCGUGCGCAGACGGUUUGGUAGGUCUUAUGCGAAAUCCGGUGGCUCAACCACCUGGACUGUAUGAGAAACCCCCUGACUCGAGGUAGGUAGAGGUACAUGGAAUUUCUGGUGUAGGAGUGACAUCCGUAGAUAUCAGAAGGAACACCAAUGGCGAAGGCAGUGUACUGGGCCUUACCUGACGUUCAGGCACGAAAGCGUGGGGAGCAAACAGG
rnacentral:rRNA from 1 species